rnacentral:lncRNA from 1 species
UGAAAUUGAGUUUUAUAGACUUUUCAGAUCUGGACAGGGUGCUUAGCACCUCAUUUUAGGUGCUUAGCGCCCUGUUUCUUCAUGUUGAAGGAGUCUCCACCGCCAGAGGAUGCUUAGCACCCUGGAACACAUGCUAAGCAUGACUGGAGAAACAAGGUUGAUUUCUUGAUAUUUCAAAGGUCUUGAGUGAGAUUCUUCAAGGGCUAGUUGGAUAUCUUCAUUUACAAGCUUCCUUUCAUCCAAAUCAU